rnacentral:tRNA from 1 species
UGCUAUGUGGUCUAGUGGUUAGGAUUCCUGGCUCUCACCCAGGUGGCUCAGGUUCGUUUCCUAGCCUGGGAA